rnacentral:rRNA from 1 species
AACGAACGCUGGCGGCAUGCCUAACACAUGCCAGUCGAACGAGACCUUCGGGUCUAGUGGCGCACGGGUGCGUAACGCGUGGGAACCUGCCCUUAGGUUCGGAAUAACUCCCCGAAAGGGGUGCUAAUACCGGAUAAUGUCUUCGGACCAAAGAUUUAUCGCCUUUGGAUGGGCCCGCGUUGGAUUAGCUAGUUGGUAGGGUAAAAGCCUACCAAGGCGACGAUCCAUAGCUGGUCUGAGAGGAUGAUCAGCCACACUGGGACUGAGACACGGCCCAGACUCCUACGGGAGGCAGCAGUGGGGAAUAUUGGACGAUGGGCGAAAGACUGAUCCAGCAAUGCCGCGUGAGUGAUGAAGGCCUUAGGGUUGUAAAGCUCUUUUACCCGGGAUGAUAAUGACAGUACCGGGAGAAUAAGCUCCGGCUAACUCCGU